CUGAGGCACAAGUCUUUUGGAACAAGGCAUCAUAGAGGGUGAGAAUCCCGUCCAUGGUCUCAUGCAUUUCAUUUUGUGAUACGUUUUCUAAGAGUCAGGUUGUUUGGGAAUGCAGCCUAAAAUGGGUGGUAAAUUUCAUCUAAAGCUAAAUAUUGGCGAGAGACCGAUAGCGAACAAGUACCGUGAGGGAAAGAUGAAAAGAACUUUGAAAAGAGAGUUAAAAAGUACGUGAAAUUGUUGAAAGGGAACCGUUUGAAGCCAGUCUUGCUUACUUGUGAUCAAUCUUAGCUUCGGCUUGGAUGCACUCUCGAGUUAUGCAGGUCAACGUCAGUUUGAGAGGUGAGAAAAAAGUUUGAGGAAUGUGGCCUUCGGGUGUUAUAGCCUCUUACUAAAUAUCAUCUCCUGGACUGAGGCUCGCAGCAAAAAUGUGGGUUGGUUUGCUCCUGAGGUGAAUCAUUAUUAAGACAGCUUGCUGACUUAGUUUUGUGGAUCUUCACGGUAGACCAGCUUCUAAUUUGCUUAGGUCGUUGACAUAAUGGCUUUAAAUGACCCGUCUUGAAACACGGACCAAGGAGUCUAACAUAUAUGCGAGUAUUUGGGUGUCAAACCCACAUGCGCAAUGAAAGUGAAAUUAGGUGCCAAACCCGCAAGGGUGGCAGCAUCGGCCGGCUCUAACGUUUCUAACUGACGAGUCUGAGCAGAAGCAUACAUGUUGGGACCCGAAAGAUGGUGAACUAUGCCUGAAUAGGGUGAAGCCAGAGGAAACUCUGGUGGAGGCUCGUAGCGAUUCUGACGUGCAAAUCGAUCGUCAAAUUUGGGUAUAGGGGCGAAAGACUAAUCGAACCAUGCAGUGCGCCAA
rnacentral:rRNA from 1 species